rnacentral:rRNA from 1 species
UUAAAUUGAAGAGUUUGAUCAUGGCUCAGAUUGAACGCUGGCGGCAGGCCUAACACAUGCAAGUCGAACGGUAACAGGAAGCAGCUUGCUGCUUUGCUGACGAGUGGCGGACGGGUGAGUAAUGUCUGGGAAACUGCCUGAUGGAGGGGGAUAACUACUGGAAACGGUGGCUAAUACCGCAUAACGUCGCAAGACCAAAGAGGGGGACCUUCGGGCCUCUUGCCAUCAGAUGUGCCCAGAUGGGAUUAGCUAGUUGGUGAGGUAACGGCUCACCAAGGCGACGAUCCCUAGCUGGUCUGAGAGGAUGACCAGCCACACUGGAACUGAGACACGGUCCAGACUCCUACGGGAGGCAGCAGUGGGGAAUAUUGCACAAUGGGCGCAAGCCUGAUGCAGCCAUGCCGCGUGUAUGAAGAAGGC